ACAAAGUUUCAUUCACAUGCAACUUAACAAUUCAACCAACUUAAACGACAAUACACCAAACCCAGAUCUCUUCCGGAACGCACCCAUUGCUUUUCCAUGGAAUUUCUUUCCACUGAGUUAUGGAGAGUUUCCAUGGAGAGCAACAAUGAGGCAAGUGACAGCUACAUAACAAAAUAAACAACAUCCAACGAGUCAACAACUUUUGGGAUUGAGGAUGCGGUUAAUGGAAGGCAUCCACAACAAAAUUUGCUGUUUAUUGAGAUAUACUCUCAAUAAAAAGCAAAAAACAAGGAUUCUGGAUGCCUGGGAAAUGGAAUGGGAUUCGGAUGAUGGCGAGGAACUGGAGGUACAAGGGAUGCUGAGAUGGAUUAAGGGAGUUUUUUGAUAAUUGUGGGGAAAAACCCACGAUUUAGGCCGGGCAAACUUUUGUACUACCAUUAAGUAGAGGAUUUUGUUGAAACCCCUAUCUGCUGGAGCGUCCGGUGUACCAAAGUUAAGGAUGCUGGGAGGUACACUUCUAGAUAUGUGGAUCGGAGGUGCUCGUCAGAGAUUUGCGAGAAAAACCGAGCUAGUACCUAUGUCCUCUAUUAAGCCUAAAGUGAAUCCUGCUAUGCAGCGAAUCAACCAUCUCUAUCCGCCACCGCUAAUACCUCCAACGUUUAAGUGACCCUACACCAUUUAAUUAGUUAUUGGUAAGUGAUAGGAAUAUUUUUUUUUUAUAUAACUUUAUUUUAAGUAGUUAAGUUAUAGAUACGAUUAAAAAAGUAUAUAUUAAUAACUAAAUAACUAUAUAAAUAAAUGAAUAAAUAAAUAAUUUAGGGAUUUUGUAAAUAUCACAGAUCGUAGUUUUCAAUCAUUGCGGAUAGUAUUUAAGUUAGAAAAGGUAGUAAAUUUAGUAUCACAAGUUUUAAAAGAUAAGUUACUUAAGCUAAAAUAAAAAAGAAAAUAUAAAUAUCACAGAUGAAGAAAAUUUAAAGCUAUCAGUCUUAGUAGGAUUAAUAAUGUUAGUAAAAUUAUCACAGAUGGGAUGGUUAAACCAUUUUAUCACAGAAGAAGGAAAUUUUAAAAGCUAUUAGCCUAAGUAAAAUUAAUAAAGUAAGUAAAAAUAUCACAGAUGGGAUGGUUGAACCAUUUUAUCACAGAUAAAGAAAAAUUUAAAAGCUAUUAGUCUUAGUAAAAUUAAUAAAAUAAGUAAAAAUAUCACAGAUGGGAUGGUUGAACCAUUUUAUCACAGAUGUUUAAUAAAAUAAGUUAAUAUAUUAAUAAAUAAAUAAAUAAAAACAUUUAACAUUAAGUAACAUUUAGAACAUAAGGCAUGCAAUGAAUAUAAUAAAUACAUAUAUACUUAAAAUAUCCGUGUUUAUUAAACAGUUCCAGGUACUUUUGGUUUUUGUUACUGUUGCUAAAUAAAUAUAAUAAGUUAUACUCACGGAUAAUUUAAUACAUUAACAAAUAACAAACAGAAACGAUACGAAUUAGCAACAAUGAUAAUUACGGCUUGUAUUUAAAACAAACGAACGUGUUUUUGAAGCAUUCUGCUCAUUGUUUUAAAUCUUUGGCGUGAUAUAUUCCAAGUCUUUUUCCGAUUAAGUUUUCUAACUCAUACAUUUGAUUUCCUAUUCGUUUAACUACGCGGCAUUUAACAUACUUGGGUGAGAGUUUCGCUGAUAAACCUUUCGACGAAUCGCUCAUCACAAAAUUUUUCCGAUACACCUCUUGUCCGGGUGAAAAUUGAACGUUUUUAGUACGGACAUUAUAAAUUUUUGAGGAUUUAUCGUUGACUUUAAUUAUGUUUUCGCGAAUUUGAUUUCGUAUGCACUGCAAUCGACCAUGUCGGGGAAGAGUUAACAGCUCGCUAUCGUCCAGCGCAUGCAACUUCUUGGCAAGUUCAUAACUGCUACCGUGCGUCAUCAUGUUAGUGCCGAAUAAUGCAUAAUAAGGUGACACGCCGGUAGAGCUAUGAACCGCGCUUCUUAACGCACACGCGAUGUCGCUAAGGUGCGUAUCCCAAUACCUUUGAUCGUCUUUUAGGUACGAUCGAAUAGCAGCCAACAAGGAGCGGUUCACCCUCUCCGACGCGUUCGAUUGCGGUGCAUAGUGAGCGGUUUUAAAAUGCCUUAUGCCGUAUUUAGUUAUCAUCGAUUCGAAUUCUUUGGAUACAAAUUGUUUUCCAUUGUCGGAAUGGAUGAUAUUGGGUACUCCAAACAUAUUGAAAACGUCUUCUUUUAAAAAUUUAAUGACGCUUGAAGUACUUGCUUUUCGUAACGCUUUCAACAACACAAAUUUGGACAAAUGAUCUAAGACAACAAACACGUAUACAUUUCCUAAUUUUGACCUCGGGUAUGGUCCUAAAAAGUCAAUGUAUAUUUUUUCAAACGGACGAUUACUACAAUAUGACGUAACAAUAGGAGGACGAGAUACUUGAUUCGACGCUUUACUUUGUUUACACACACUACAAUUAGAGACGUAUUCACGAACAUGCACGGUCAUAUUAGGCCAGUAGAAAUAAUUUCUAAGUUUAGCUAGGGUUUUUGCUAUGCCGCCGUGAGCGGAUUUAGGAGGAUCAUGAACCUUCUUUAUAAUUUCCUCGGUUAAACCUGAUGGUACCCAAAGGAGCCAAGAAUGUUCCCACAUUUCUUCUUCGCCUAAUUUUUUAAAAACUUUUUUAUAGACAUAUCCGUCUUCGUAUUUUAAGUCGGGAAGCUCGUCUUUAUUGUUGUAAACCGUCUCGAUGAGGUCUAAAUAUUCAUCAGAAAGGAAUUCCGCUGACUUCAAGUCAAUCAACGGGGCAACGUCCUCGAUAGUCAGAGAAUCCACAUGUACCCGAGAAAGAGUAUCCGGUACUACGUGUUGACUUCCUUUACGGUGCUGUAUGUCGAAGGUAUAGGACUGUAAAGAAAGACUCCACCUGGCAAGCUUGCCACUAAGGUCCUUCAUGCUCAUCAGCCAUUUAAGGCUGGAAUGGUCCGUUAUGAUUGUAAAGUCCAUUCCCUCGACAUACGGCCUGAACUUCUUCACAGCCAUCACCGCGGCCAUACACUCCUUCUCGGUGACACUGUAGUUUCUCUGACUUUUAUUAAAUUUUUGAGAGAAAAACGCAAUCGGUACCUCCUCUCCUUCCUCGUCCAACUGAACCAGUACAGCACCGAUCCCGGCGUCAGAAGCAUCACAUUGGAUGUAAAAUCUUUUUGUGAACUCCGGGCGCGAAAGAACCGGCGCUGAGAUCAAUGCUUUCUUCAGGUUCUCGAAUGCCAUCAGCGCUUCAUCCGUCAUGAAGAACUUCUCGCUUCUCUUCUUCAACAGGUCAGUCAAAGGAGCAGUCAAAGUUGAAAAGUCCUUUAUGAACUUCCGAUACCAGCCUGCCAUUCCAAGUAGCCUACGGAUCUGCCUAGGGGUUUUCGGGAUCGGGAAAUCCACGAUCGCCUCUACUUUCGCCGGAUCCGUUUUAAAUUUCCCACCACCAACUAUGAAGCCCAAGUAUUUUAACUCUUUGAAGCAAAACCUUGAUUUCUCCAUGUUGAUGGUGAGAUUGGCUUUACGUAAGCAUUCGGCUACUUCGCUUAGCAGGCUGAUAUGGGUAUCAAAAUCCGGUGCCAUGAUAAGCAAGUCAUCGAGGUACACAAAAACGCGCUCCCUAAGUCGUGCAGGAAUCACCUUGUCCAUCAACUGGCUCAAACGUUGAGCUGCAUUGCACAACCCAAACGGCAUCACAGUGAACUGGUACAAGGGUCUUCCCGGUACCGCAAAGGCAGUCUUUUCUCUACUCUGUUUCUCCAGCGGAAUUUGCCAAAAGGCCUCUUUGAGAUCGAUGCUACUCAUGUAAAUCGCGACGGGAAAUCGGCUGGUGAGUCCUUCAAUGUGAGGAAGAGGGUUCGCAUUUUUCUUCGUCAGUGCGUUCACCUUACGGGAAUCCAAACAGAGUCGGUUUUUGCCGGGUUUCCGUAAGAGUACCACUGGCGAACACCACGGGCUUUCACUCUCCUCAAUCACACCGAGCUUCAGCAUCCGAUCCAACUCAUCGUACAACAGUGUUUGUAUCGCUGGAGAGACAGGGUAGUGACGCUGUUUCACAGGGAGGGCAUCUCCUGUAUCGAUGACAUGCUCCAUCAUGGUAGUCUUUCCAAGACCAUCGCGCUCGAAACUUAUAAAUUGAUCUUUGACAGCAUCCAGUCUGGCCUGUUGAUCCGAGGUUAACUGGUGAGCAUUUAGAGAAUCUGAUUGUUCGUCAACCGAGAUACUACUUAUAAUUCCCGGAGCUAACUGAAACACUCUCCAAAAGUCAACUCCAAGAUAGAUCUCCUGGUCCAAGUUGGGAACGAGGAAGAAGGUCAACAUCUCUUCUUUAUCCUUAUACGUGACUCUAAUGGAAAUUUUGCCCACAAUUGAUUGUCUUUUUCCGUCAGCGGUCCUAACUCCUGAACUGAAAGGUGUAAUAGGACAACCAAGUUGUUCAAUCAAUUGUUCGCAAUUUUUCCCUAAUAUGCUUACACUAGCACCGCUGUCUAGUAAGCCUAAAAACUCUCUCGAACCUAUUUUUAUUUUUGCAUAAGGCCGAGGGUCGGAUUUUAAAUUUACAAUAGUGGAAGAUAUCUUCUUCGAAGUUUCUUUACGGGCCUUGUAUCUCGCCCUUGCCUUUAAAACAUUUUUGGAAGGUGUGCUUAUUGCACUGUUGAAAAUUCUUGCCCGAGCUUCCUCGUUUUCCUGAAGACGGACAUGUAGCGGUUUAAUUUUGUAUAAAUUUCUUUCAGUUACAUCUUUUAUAAUUUCUCCUUUUUCUUUUCGCUUUAAAAUUUGUAUUUUUAUCUCACCCUCUUGCAAGAGAGGGGUUUCCAUCACUCCAUCAGCGGAGGUGGAAUUUUUAAAAUCUAUUGGGGGUUCUGAUUUGGAUUGGCACGCGAUUCCCCCGUACCCUUCGCGUCCCGAAACCGGUUUCCCUGAUUGCAUCGUGGGCAACGUGGAGUUAUUACACCUUCUUGACCACACUUGUAGCAAAACACGUUUCGCACAUCAGACUCACAAUCAAAGGUCCGCGUAUUUGCGAGGCGAAAUUUUUGGUCGAGCCGUACCAAACUGAUAAGCGGCAAGCUGUUCAUUCGUCGGUUGGUACUCCUCUUCCAAUUCCAGUUCAUUGACCGGAUAUUUGCCUGGUGGUUUGGCAAAGGUUUUUGGCAAUUCCUUCCUGGGAAAUGCCACUUCCGCAUCCUUG